AAGUGUUUUAUUCCUCUUAUAUGACAGCAACUUCCCUCCCAGUGAUUGCACGCUUUGCCUGUUAAAGAGCUAUACAUCAUACUUAUUAUCCAUUUAUACCUGUAGAACAGCGUAUUUCCUGUUGUCGCUUACGUUACAGCAGUUGUAAACUCCCCUGUCCUGAAAACCUACAAGCUCUUACAAGCCACCGACGCUGGAGACUCCUUCCGUGAACGUCUCCGACGCAGAAACCUUUUAUGCGCAGCAUCGAUUCCUGUGGAUGAAGCAUUUCCAUAGAAACGAUAACUCUUUUCUGUAUACAGAAAACGAACCAACGCCUUCUGACCAAUCAGGACGGAGAAUUCAACAGCGCCGUGGCGUGAAACGCAUCCCGAUCUGGCUUCCCGUGAUGGGUUUUGAUGCUUUGCGUAGCCGAUAGCACGGGUGUCGGAUCUUAUCCGGGAAGGGCCGGUGUGGGUGCGGGUUUUCAUGCCAGUCGAGCAGGAGCCACACCCGAUUCCGCCCGUUUAAAUCGGCUGAUCUUGAGCUUCCGGUAGACUCGGGUGUGGCCCCCGCUCGGUCGGAAUGAAAACCCGCAGCCACGCCGGAGCUUUCCGGAUAAGAUCCGACACCGUUGCUCUAUAGCCUACAACGACGUCGUUGCGAAACGGCUUAAAACGCCGAGAAACACACAUUUUAAAUGCGUUCGAUUAUCCGUGACUAAUUUUGAGUGUCUGCUAGAAGACAAUGCCGGAUGGAAAUGUGGCACUCCAUUACCUCUCCUGAUUAAGCGUAAAUGUCGAUCGCGGUUAGUCUGAGGCGAGCGUGCAUCUCGUGUGCCUAACUGUCUGUAAAAGAAACGGAAUAAAACACUGCUACGCUGAAGGUAAAGCAGGUAAUGAAACUCCUUUUACACAUCAUUUCACGAUUCGAAGGUGAAUUAUUCAAUUAUUAAUUAAUCCGGUUAAUCAGGCGGCGGGAUUAAGGCCUACCGAUUUCGGAAGCAGGCGCGGCGUUCGCGCUCAGCGUAGCGUGGUGGAUAGAAAAGUUUCUUGGAUGCAUUUAUUUUGGUUUGUGUCACGCCUGAAUAAGAGGAAACUAAAAUAACUACCGAAUAAAAAGCAGAUGAAAAGCAUCGUAUUCACAGAAUCGUAAUGCGUUAAAGCGGCAGGAAGUCUCUGACUGACAUUUCAGCAGGGAGCUGUUUGAGCUAGCGUGCUAAGUGACCGCGUCGUGCUAGCGUCAGACGUUUUUUCUUCUUCUUUUUCUCUACACGAUGCUGUAUUUUCCACGUCCCGAUUCGGAAGAUUGUCUAGCGUCUGUUCGAGCCGAUUACCGGGGUCACGUGAGUAACGCAAGGAGGUGAGGAGCCCUGCAAACAAUUAGCGAUGAGUUGCUUUUAGCGCCACCGAGAGAUACGCGCGCUGAUUAUAGCGUCGUCAGACAAACGGAUCAGGGUAAAGGGUCACACUGUGAAAGCUGACAGGAAGUCGUGUUUCUCCGGCUGUCGGAUGAGUGAAGGAAGGAAGGAAGAAAAAGGACCGACGGAUGUGAAUGGAAAGCUAAUUAGCCUAGAUGUCUAAACUGUUAACGUAGCCUACGUAGCAUGGAGAUUUUUCCCGCGGUAUCAUCAUUACAAAUGAUUUUCUCAAUUAUUAUUUAUUUAUUCGUCCGUUUGUUCUCUUCUGUUUAUCUCCUUUCUUUUCCUCCUCCGGUCUUUAACAGUUCGAAAAACGAGGUCCGUGCGAGGUUUUUUUUUUUUUUUAAAUAAAAAAAACAGGAUAAAAUAACGACUAGGCCGGAGACGUCCAUCAUUCCGUCUCUGAUUGUCUUCGUAACCGCGCGAGCUGCAAUUAUGACAAAAAAUUGAAACUGUCAGGUUGUUUUAUUUUUACUCUUUGACUCUCUCUCUCUCUUUUUUUUUUUUUUUUUCCAGUGACAGAAGCUUUCAAGUAAGAUUACCGUGUGUGAAAUCCUACAAUGUGUAAUUAUACUUAAUCCUCUCUUUCACCAAACCCUGAAAGCCAAAUGACUCUGUUUCAGCGACUCUCCGAGGCGCGUCAGCGUUUCCCGAAUCGCUCCGCGGUUUCGUUCGUUUUUUUUUUUUCAGCUUUCGGCGCCGAUGAGCGGAAAUGUUUGGAUCUGGAAUCUCGGAAAACGCCGCACGAUGUGGUGCGUUACAGUCUGCGAUAACUCCGCAAUGUUAGUCUAAAUUGGAAAUUGUCGACGUUUUUGUACCUUUUAAGUCGUACGGUCCCGUCUCUCUCCAGGCUUCUUUCUCACGACGUUAAAACGGAAUAAUCUCGCGAUCGGUGUGGCGACUUUAAUGACCGUUUCAAUGGAGAUAUUGAUGCUCUCGGUGUGAAUCUGUACGCUGAGACCGUGUCCGCAGAGUUUAAAGGAGUUUAGUGUGUGUGUGUGUGUGUGUGUGUGUGUGAUCCCCUGUGAACUGAGCUGACAUUUAACGAGUUAUUCAACAUCCUGUGUUUUUAUAAAAGAGUUAUAUCUGGCAAACUGUGUGCUUUGACUGACUUUUAUAUGAAAAAAAUGAAUAAUAAUAGUAAUAAAUUGCACGCUGGGCCUCAUUUAUCAAUCUUUGCUUUCAUAGGUCAAGUAAAUACUGGAAUUAAAUACCAGAAAUAAAUAUUCCCAAUAGAUUUACAAAAUUACAGAGAACCACACUGAUGUUUUUCGGACUCGUGCGUUUGCCGACAACCACCAAUCAUCUGUAAACUACAGAGCGUCUUCGUGACAGAUCUACAUUCGGCCACGCCUACAAAACUCCAUAAAAGGCAACCCUCAUAGGGAGUGACUAAGACGGUGGACGAGCGCCUCUUAAGCAUGAAGUCAAGGAAUUGAGGUCCAUCCAUCUUCUAUAUCGCUUGUCCUACUGGGUCGUGGGGAAAUCUGGAGCCUAUCCCAGGGGACAAGGCGGGGUACACCCUGGACAGAGUGCCAAUCUAUCGCAGGGUACGAUCACAUACACACUCACACACCCGUUCCUACACUACGGACACUUUGGACACGCCGAUCCGCCUAUCAUGAAUGUCUUUGGACCGGGGGAGGAAACCGGAGAACCCGGAGGAAACCCCCGCAGCACGGGGAGAACACGCGAACUCCGCCCAGAGAGGGCAGGGUUAGGGUUAGAGCGAACGUGCUAACCGCUAAGCUACCAGGAACUGAGUGUGUGUAAUGGAAAUAAAUAAGUGAGGUCAGAGUAAUCCAUAUUAUAAAAUCGAAGCAACUCAUCAACGGUUAUAUGUUUUGAAGCUGAUCAAUCGAGGUUCCCAUUACCGACUCUCCUUAAGUGAUAUAAAUGUACACAAAUACGACUGGAUUUUCAUGAAACGACAUUUCGUGUCUAAAUCCCCCUGCAAAUAACUGACAAAUAAAUCCAUUCAUAAAUGAGGAUAAAGUGUCUGGAAGUAAAUGUGAAAAAUAUAUCGAAUAUACUGACUGUAAAAGUGUAAUAAACGGUUAACAGUCUGAUCUCGGUUGUCGUUUUUCGCUGUAAUCCUUCACGUAAGUUUCCGUUUUGUUUUGAAAAAGAGAACUCUGCCUUCCAUCGAGCCAUUUUCACAGUAUAUAAUGGAUCACCUCUUACGCCCUCAGAGCACCGAUCGCAGUUUGCGUCCUCUCAUGUUAUUCCCAAAGGCAAGGAGUGCAAAAAGAAAGCUUUCACGUUAGAACUUUUACUCACAACUGACCAGGCUUUUAAUCCCACUGCUCGGUCUCCGAGCGCGGAUCGAUAUCCUAGUCCGCGGCUGACCGCCGUGCGGAAAGUUUGCUUCGAACUGCAUCCGAAGCACUCGAAAAUACCCGAAUCUGACCACAUGGACUGGCAACCUUCCUCGAUUUAGACCUGUUCCAUCCUUGGCAUAAACUUUUUCUUUUUUUUACGUUCUCUUUCAUUUCGCAGGUACAGGAAGUGUGAAUCGCAGUGCCGAAAGAGCGCGGCAGUUUAUUUGGAGCAGGUAUCUCGAGUCACUUUGCUCCUCGGUGUGAUCUCAGACGAGUGAUGAAACGAGGGAUUCAUUUCCUUCAUCCUUUGAGACCGGUGAGUGCAACCAAUCGGAGUCGCUCUCCUCGAUCCCACGGGGAAAUUAUCCCGAAUUCAAAUGUCACUGGAGAUGUCAUGACAGCUGGAUUUGUCCGGGAAAGUAUCGGGCUGUCUUCGUUUGCAUAAUUUCGCCCGACAGGCGUUUAAAGUCGCGUAGAGCGGAACGGAAAGCGGAAGCGGUGAGGGAACUUCGAACACGGGACGUGAGAAACAGGUCCCGCGUCUUUGUUGGUUUCUCAUCGACGUUAUGGAGUCUCUCGUGUUUCGAGGUCCACCAUGUUUGGUCCAG
ensembl:lncRNA